rnacentral:rRNA from 1 species
UACGAAGGGGGCUAGCGUUGCUCGGAAUCACUGGGCGUAAAGGGCGCGUAGGCGGAUCUUUAAGUCGGGGGUGAAAGCCUGAGGCUCAACCUCAGAAUUGCCUUCGAUACUGGAGAUCUUGAGACCGGAAGAGGUAAGUGGAACUGCGAGUGUAGAGGUGAAAUUCGUAGAUAUUCGCAAGAACACCAGUGGCGAAGGCGGCUUACUGGUCC